rnacentral:rRNA from 1 species
GACGAACGCUGGCGGCGUGCCUAACACAUGCAAGUCGAGCGAGUGGAGUUCUUCGGAACAAAGCUAGCGGCGGACGGGUGAGUAACACGUGGGCAACCUGCCUUAUAGAGGGGAAUAGCCUCCCGAAAGGGAGAUUAAUACCGCAUAAGAUUGUAGCUUCGCAUGAAGUAGCAAUUAAAGGAGUAAUCCGCUAUGAGAUGGGCCCGCGGCGCAUUAGCUAGUUGGUGAGGUAACGGCUCACCAAGGCGACGAUGCGUAGCCGACCUGAGAGGGUGAUCGGCCACAUUGGGACUGAGACACGGCCCAGACUCCUACGGGAGGCAGCAGUGGGGAAUAUUGCACAAUGGGGGAAACCCUGAUGCAGCAACGCCGCGUGAGUGAUGACGGCCUUCGGGUUGUAAAGCUCUGUCUUCAGGGACGAUAAUGACGGUACCUGAGGAGGAAGCCACGGCUAACUACGUGCCAGCCGCCGCCGUAAGAC